rnacentral:rRNA from 1 species
AUUGAACGCUGGCGGCAGGCCUAACACAUGCAAGUCGAGCGGAUGACGGGAGCUUGCUCCUUGAUUCAGCGGCGGACGGGUGAGUAAUGCCUAGGAAUCUGCCUGGUAGUGGGGGACAACGUUUCGAAAGGAACGCUAAUACCGCAUACGUCCUACGGGAGAAAGCAGGGGACCUUCGGGCCUUGCGCUAUCAGAUGAGCCUAGGUCGGAUUAGCUAGUUGGUGGGGUAGUGGCUCACCAAGGCGACGAUCCGUAACUGGUCUGAGAGGAUGAUCAGUCACACUGGAACUGAGACACGGUCCAGACUCCUACGGGAGGCAGCAGUGGGGAAUAUUGGACAAUGGGCGAAAGCCUGAUCCAGCCAUGCCGCGUGUGUGAAGAAGGUCUUCGGAUUGUAAGGCACUUUAAGUUGGGAGGAAGGGCAGUAAGUUAAUACCUUGCUGUUUUGACGUUACCGACAGAAUAAGCACCGGCUAACUCUGUGCCAGCAGCCGCGGUAAUACAGAGGGUGCAAGCGUUAAUCGGAAUUACUGGGCGUAAAGCGCGCGUAGGUGGUUUGUUAAGUUGGAUGUGAAAGCCCCGGGCUCAACCUGGGAACUGCAUCCAAAACUGGCAAGCUAGAGUACGGUAGAGGGUGGUGGAAUUUCCUGUGUAGCGGUGAAAUGCGUAGAUAUAGGAAGGAACACCAGUGGCGAAGGCGACCACCUGGACUGAUACUGACACUGAGGUGCGAAAGCGUGGGGAGCAAACAGG